GGGUAAGUCUUAUACGACCAGCUCCCAUCUAACUCCCCCAGGUUCGGAAGGAAGCAAGGGUACGAUGGUCGUAGCGGUGCGAUAUAAGUAGCUUACCCUUU
rnacentral:SRP_RNA from 1 species